UCUGUGCUCAUUUUUACCCAGCAGUAUCUCUGAGGAGAAUGACCAGUCAAUGGAUAACCAACCCAGAGGUCCUACUGAUGACAAAGUGUACCCAACAGAAGUCCAGGAGAAAAUGAAACCCUACUUGAAGAAUAGGACAUAUUCUUUAUUUGAGGGCAUUGAAGAUCAAGGAAAAAGGACACCUCUUAACAACAUCUACACAGAGCUCUACAUCACACAAGGUGGAAGUGGAGAGGUCAAUUCUGAACAUGAGGUGAGACAGAUUGAGACAGCAUGCAGUUGUCAAGUAGAACACGAGACAUCAAUCCAACUCAAUGACAUCUUCAAACCCUUACCUGGACAAGACAAGCCUAUCAGAACAGUGCUGACAAGGGGAGUUGCUGGCAUUGGAAAAACAGUGUCUGUGCUGAAGUUCAUGUUGGACUGGGCUGAAGGAAAAGCAAACCAAGACAUCCAGAUCAUCUUUCCACUUCCUUUUCGGGAUCUGAACUUGAUGAGAGA